CCUAAGGUAGCGAAAUUCCUUGUCGGGUAAGUUCCGACCUGCACGAAUGGCGUAAUGAUGGCCAGGCUGUCUCCACCCGAGACUCAGUGAAAUUGAACUCGCUGUGAAGAUGCAGUGUACCCGCGGCAAGACGGAAAGACCCCGUGAACCUUUACUAUAGCUUGACACUGAACAUUGAGCCUUGAUGUGUAGGAUAGGUGGGAGGCUUUGAAGUGUGGACGCCAGUCUGCAUGGAGCCGUCCUUGAAAUACCACCCUUUAAUGGCUGGUGUUCUAACGUAGACCCGUAAUCCGGGUUGCGGACAGUGUCUGGUGGGUAGUUUGACUGGGGCGGUCUCCUCCUAAAGAGUAACGGAGGAGCACGAAGGUUGGCUAAUCCUGGUCGGACAUCAGGAGGUUAGUGCAAUGGCAUAAGCCAGCUUGACUGCGAGCGUGACGGCGCGAGCAGGUGCGAAAGCAGGUCAUAGUGAUCCGGUGGUUCUGAAUGGAAGGGCCAUCGCUCAACGGAUAAAAGGUACUCCGGGGAUAACAGGCUGAUACCGCCCAAGAGUUCAUAUCGACGGCGGUGUUUGGCACCUCGAUGUCGGCUCAUCACAUCCUGGGGCUGAAGUAGGUCCCAAGGGUAUGGCUGUUCGCCAUUUAAAGUGGUACGCGAGCUGGGUUUAGAACGUCGUGAGACAGUUCGGUCCCUAUCUGCCGUGGGCGCUGGAGAAUUGAGGGGGGCUGCUCCUAGUACGAGAGGACCGGAGUGGACGCAUCACUGGUGUUCGGGUUGUCAUGCCAAUGGCACUGCCCGGUAGCUAAAUGCGGAAGAGAUAAGUGCUGAAAGCAUCUAAGCACGAAACUUGCCCCGAGAUGAGUUCUCCCUGAGACUUUAAGUCUCCUGAAGGAACGUUGAAGACGACGACGUUGAUAGGCCGGGUGUGUAAGCGCAGCGAUGCGUUGAGCUAACCGGUACUAAUGAACCGUGAGGCUUAACCUU
rnacentral:rRNA from 1 species